CUGUCAUCAGAACUGCAGCGAUUCAUGCUUCCUAAGAGCUCUCCAUCGAAGGAAGCACACAGUGCAUCGCUGCUGGUCCCGGGUCUUCUGGAUCAAAACUGCUUAGAUUCACCUAGGAAUGAACAGAUGGACAGGGACUGGUGAAGAGUAACCUACAAAACGCUGACUGCUGCAGAGGACCGGUUGGAAGACGGCUGCUCCACACGCCCAUCGUGCCACAGCAGCUCCUUGCUGGAUGUGCCUGUGAUAACUGGUUAGCUCCUGACAGCAAUCCCCUCACAGUGGGGAAGAAAGCAGCGCUUGCACAGCUGGUUUUAUGAGCACUAAACAAGCACAACUAAAAUGCUCAAGGGA